GGGCUCCGGGCGGCCGUGACCCUGCUGGAGUCCGGGGGGGACCUCCAGCCCCCCGGGGGGUCCCUGCGCCUCCUCUGCCGAGGGAGUGGAUUCGAGUUCGGGAAUUUUGGGAUGUUCUGGAUCCGCCAAAAACCCGGGAAGGCGCUGGAAUACGUCGCGAGCAUCAGCACUGAUGGAUCCAACACCGACUACGGGCCGUCCGUGAAGGGCCGGUUCAGGAUCAGCAGGGACAACGGGCAGAGCUCGGUGACGCUGAGCAUGAACAACCUCCAGGACGAGGAUUCCGGGGUUUAUUUCUGUGCCAAAUCUGCUGGUGGUGGUUGGGCUGCUGCUGCUUAUGACAGCAACAACAGCAACAACAGCAACAGGAACAACAACAGCUCUGAGCUGGUGUGGGUAACGGGACACACAGACAGCAACAACAACAACAACAACAGCAAUGACAGGAACAACAGGAAAAGCAACAAUAACAGCAACAGCUCCAGCGGGAACAACCGAACAGAAGCGGGGAGCCCGUGA